AUUGAACGCUGGCGGCAGGCCUAACACAUGCAAGUCGAGCGAGCGGCGGACGGGUGAGUAAUGCCUAGGAACUGCCUGGUAGUGGGGGAUAACUACUGGAAACGGUAGCUAAUACCGCAUACUAUCGGAUAACCCAUAUGGGAUUAGCUAGUUGGUGAGGUAAUGGCUCACCAAGGCGACGAUCCCUAGCUGGUCUGAGAGGAUGAUCAGCCACACUGGGACUGAGACACGGCCCAGACUCCUACGGAGGCAGCAGGGGGGAAUAUUGCACAAUGGGCGCAAGCCUGAUGCAGCCAUGCCGCGUGUAUGAAGAAGGCCCUAGGGUUGUAAAGUACUUUCAGUCGGGAGGCGUUACCGACAGAAGAAGCACCGGCUAACUCCGUGCCAGCAGCCGCGGUAAUAC
rnacentral:rRNA from 1 species